GUUGUCGGAUUCACUUCAAUCCAUGUGUGUUGGUGUGGAUUGGGGUGAAAUUUAGUUUGAGUUUCAUUCAAAUCCACCUCAACACAUGUGGAUUGAUGUGACUACAUCC
rfam:Sorghum bicolor cultivar BTx623 chromosome 3, whole genome shotgun sequence.